UUCAUAGGCUUUCUGCAGGGGGAAGCACAUCACACGCUGUUGGCUCAUUCUGGCAGUCCAACCUGGCAUUGUCUUUACACAAUCCUGCAUGCAACUUUUUAUUUACAGUAAUCAGGAGCAGUUCAUCUUUUAUUCCGUAGCAAUAGUUUCAGGGGGUCUCCCUACAAGCAGUCUUUCUCCAGCCAGGAUACCACGCAAUGUUUUAAGUUUCUUUAUUCUUAUGUACUAUGACAUUACAGAACUGUCUUGAAAUUUUGGUGUGAUUUUGCUGACCUACCUUCUGAGAGUAAGAUGCGACCAGACAGCUGACACUCCCAAUACUGGUUCAAAUACCCUGUUCUCUUGCAUUCUGAAGAUGCUCGUCACUCCUGUGGAUUGAUGCAGGGUAGAGGCAUUAUCUUGAACCUCAUAAACUUCCUAUCCUCUUCAAUACAAAGUGAACAAACGGCGUCGUUUCUCAAAAUUUGUUCAGUACUGGAAUGCACGGCAUUCUCCCUUCACAUGAAACUCAAAUCAUUCCAGUUUACUUCUGCUUCUUCCUCCAGGAAAUGGAUACAAACAUGGGAUGGACCUUGGUCAUCGACGUGCUCCAGAUGUCUCAGUUGCAAACGCCUGGACAAUGAGGAUGUUAGCUGAGAAGAGGGAGUCCUGAAAUGCCAGUUAACCCAGCAGAAGUUGAUAAGCUCACUCACAGCCAGGGACAUGGUUUCCCAGGUAUACAGUUCUAUUGUAAAGGAGGCGAUGGGUUUCUUCUCCUCUGCCGACCCACUGAAUUUUAUAAGAAAAGCCAGUGGGCUCCCAGACAAAGUUAAAAAG